GUCUAGGAGUGCUCAGAGACUGAAAUAGGGCAAGAGAGCAGCAAGGCUGGGGAAUGAGUCUGAUAUGCCCCAAUGCUGAACACAGCCUUCUCUGCCUUGGCUUCAGGCUUAAAGAGUGGCCAGGGACCCCAGGCUGGGACAUUGAGUAGGCACUGCCUUCAUACGGAAGACUGAAUAUAUAGAUGGCCAUUAAAAUAAUUUUUCAAAAUGAUAAACUCGUUUACCAGGCUACCAAGAUAAAUCUGCUCCUGGGAAUUGCAUUUUGGUGUGCCUGGGAGCAGUCACGUGCUGGAGAGUUGAAAGGGGUAUUGAUCAGGAUCUGUGAGCUGCAGACCCCAUGCCAAUCCAGAGCGUUUCUGGCAAUCAGUGUCGCCCAUGAAUUGCAGCUGUCUGUGUGGCUCCCGAAAAGAAAUCUUCAGAAAAGUCCCCCCCUUAUCAAACACUUCAUCCGUUCAGGGAAGCUCCUGGAGGAAGACAGGGAGAGGAACAAGUUGAGACGGAGGAUCAUGUGUUUGAAUGUGUUAAGUGUAGAUGUCUGUUCAGUGUUCCAGAGAAAAUAUUAGGUUGGCAUUUGGAUAUGAGUCAGGAGUUCAGUCCCUCUGGCUAAGACUCCUGGUACUAUAUUGAAUAGGAGAAGUGAGACUGGGAAUUCUGGCCUUGCGCUGGAUCUUAGAGGGAAAGAUUUCAACUUUUCCUUGUUGAAUAUGAUAUUAUCUAUGAGCUUUUUGUAAAUGGACUUUAUUGUAUUGAGUUCAACCACUGAAGACCUUAUGAAAAAAGCAGUACGCCGAGAAGGCACACAAAAUCUACCAUCAAGACUUCAACACCAAGGCUUCCAUCGCAUUGUUCUAGAACAAAGCUGCGAGUCUGGAAAUGGAACACAGCAAGGAUGUGCGCCAUGGCUGCUGGGCUGGCAAUUAGUGUCCUCACUUAGUCAGGCCAAGCCAAUUGGACCUUUAACUGACCUCUGUGUUCAACAAAAAAGUCAACUAAUGUCCUGGUAACAGUUGCUGAAGUAUGGA